rnacentral:lncRNA from 1 species
UGUUGUAAUUUGGAAUAAAAUUUUAUGAAAAAAUUUUGAAAUAAAAAAGAAAAAGAACAAAGUUUCCAUUUGGAAAGAAAAGUUGGAAAGUUUAAAAAUAAAAUUCCAAACUUUCGAUUUGGAAGUGAAUUGGACGUCAAUGACGCAUCGUUACGCGACCACGUUAUCGUUUAUUUACAAGUAGUAUAAGUACAGGUGACGAGAAGAUGCUUGCUCGUAGAUAUAGUUACACAGGUGUGCACCGCCGUUACACGAUGUGCAAGCGGUGCAUGAAAUAAAGAAGAAGGAGGGAAAUCGAGUCACAUGCCGGAAAAUGUCAACCACGUGCAGAUAAUUUACUUGCGUGUUACAUCAUUUACGGUAAAGAGUGUGGAGAAAAACACCGUAUAACAUAUUAUGAACCACUCGCUUGUCGAUUAAGCCAAGGACGUUGUCAUUGAUUUUUUGGAUAAAAAAUACAUAAUGUUAUCGAACUGCAAAAAAGUGUUAUUCAUCGUCGUAAUUAUGAUAUGCAUAAUUCAACUUGUACAAAUUUUUAUUUUAACAUCACUCGUCGUUAUCGUUAUCAAUCAAUGUUAUACAUCUCCAUAAGAGAAUUCGAGUUUAUUUAAGAGGAAUGAAAAAUAAUAUUUUCGCUAAUUUUCUUUUUUUUUUUCAAAUCCCAUCAAAUACAUAGAUUUUUUCAAUCUUGAAACGAAAAAUUGUUAAUACACUUUGAUGCAAAAUCAAAAUUGAUCGCUUUACGCAAUUAUUUUUUCUUCGAAAUUUUAUGAAUAAAUUCUAGAAAUUUUUUUUCCACUUUCUAUUAUAUUUAUAAUACGAAAAUCGUAUUAACCGAUAACGUUGAUUAGAUAUAAGAUUUUUUAAAUUAUAUAAUAUAUAUAUAUAUAUAUUGCAUAAGUUUUAACGAGUUCUAAAAACACUUUCAUCGUUCACGUAUUAGACGAUAAUCCAAGUUUUCGAUAUUGCGCUGCGAUCGAGGUGGUUAAAAUUUUCUAUCGUGUUAUAUCAGUAUCAUUGUCGUCACAUUUCGGUACGGGACAUCGCGUAAAUAGUUCAUAAAUUGACGGGAAAUGUCAAAGCGAAAUAAUAUCAUUAACGGAUAAAGCGUUGCUGGAUAUUACAUCGAUAACGAUACGUGGUCGUAUGAUAAUCACUCGACAAUGAUGUUCCUUUCGUUAGAGAAAUUACUUGUGACGUGAUUAACCGUGAAAUUUUCUUAACGCGAAUAUCGCUUCGUGUCUAAUACAAUGGGAUUUAAAUACGUAUUCUUAUAUAAGUGUACUUCAACGUAUUCGUUUCUAUAAACGACUCAUCAAAUUUGAGAUAGAUGUGGAAAACAAAUUUGAUUAAACAAAGAAUUUUCGAAUAUCAAGAAAUAAGAAGAAAAUAAAAUGACAAUUAUCUUUGACAUUUUUGUUAUAAUAUAUAAAAAAAGUGUAACAAAAUGUGGAAAAUAAAAUAUCAUCGUUUAUUAUUCAUCGAAGUUUGAGCAUUCUUUGUUAUCCGAUAAUUUUGUCGCGCGAUUGUUUCACAUGCGUUAUAUUUACAUAUAUGUAUAUGCGCACUGUUAUUUAUAUUCGCAUGCUAAAUGUACGAUAACUAUAUACUUUAACACGUUAUGUGCAGUUAUUGCAAAUAUUGACAAGGAACUUUUUUUUCCUUCGUGUACAUACACAUACACAUCGUGUCCAAUUUAUCCGUUUUAUUUACGUGUGAAAAAAAUCAUUAAUUUGCAUAUUAUCUUAGAAUAAAUAUAAGAAUCGUGGUGUCAAAAACGACAAGCAUCUCGUAAACGAAUCGUUAAACUUAGAGAUAGAAAAAUAAAGUGCGAUGCAGUUAGUAUCGCGUACUAUUUCUUCAUUAUUGUCGACUCUCAUCCUUCGUAUAAAUGGAAUUUAUCAUUAGCGGCGAUUAUGCAAUUCCAUAUGCCGUAAUUGCGUAUACGAUACAACGAUGUUGAUGGCCAAUGCAUGUCGUUUGUGUUACUUUUUACUCCGUGUAAUUCCGGAAAACGGCAGAGGAAUGACAUAUACGACCGCGAUGCGAUCGAUUUGCGUAAUUCCGAGAUGUAAUUAUAUAAUGCGAAAUCGAAUUAUGUCUCGUAGUCGGAAUAAUGCUAUAAAUAAGGCUUUUGCACAACAAGUGCAUUUAUAUGACCGGGAGAAAUGUGUUUCCGUUUACAAUUAGGUAAACGAUGGUUUCGCUCUGGGUAAUAUCUUUUAUAACAGAGAACGUAACUCUUUUUCCUUUCCCACAAGGAAAGCGUAAUAUUAUUGAAUUAUCGCGUACGAAACGAUCGAUU